rnacentral:lncRNA from 1 species
UCUUCCAAUAUGUUUUGUUUUCAGUUUCCCAUUUCUAAAAGUCAUAUCUUUUUAAUCCAGAGCUCGGAGAUGGUAAGAGGACUAGAUUUUGGGAGGACACUGGAUGAGUUCUUGUCCACUUGAAGGUUAUUGCGCUUCUAUUAUUUAUUCACGAGACUUGAAAUAAUCUCAGGGGUUGAUAGUUGGAAAAAUAGUCUAGCCUAGUUAGAUGUGAUCCAAGAUAUUUCCCUAAGAAAUAUUAAAAAUAUAAUUAACGAUGUACCAAACUUUACCAGGACAUUUUAUGUGGAAUCGGGGACCAUUAUCUCUCCCAAGGCCCUAACUUUCAAGACCAGAAUCCUAGUAAGAUCAAUUGGAAAGGGACUAGUCCUAAGAAAACUAAAUUCUUUAUAUGGUCCUUUGCUUGCGGUGAAGUACUUAGAAAUUUGUAUCCAAUUCAAAAUGGUUAAUCCGCACAACUCCACCAUGGAUCACAAGAUCACCUUUUUCUCUCCCGUUCUUUGGCUAAGCAACGGUUGGAUCUAUCGGCAAUCUUUUCAACGAGAUGAUUGCGGCUGGUGGCUUUGCGUAAAAGCCAAGGUACUAUUGGUCUAAUGGUAUAAGUGUUUUUUUUUCCUUUUUUUUUGGUCUGUUGUUUGCUCCUAGAAAGGAGUUUCAAAAUCUUGAUAAUUUAAAAAACCAAGUACAGUAUACAACCUCUAAUUGGCGUCAUGCAGACUUGAUAAUUUAGUCUUCAGAAAGAGUUGAAACAACCCUAAAGGAGGCAUUCUUAGGAUGUUUCAAUGGUUUUCCCAAAAUGAGAUGGUCAAAACUAGUACGAUGAAUGUGCUAGGGUCAAGACCAGAAUCCUAGUAAGAUCAAUUGGAAAGGGACUAGUCCUAAGAAAACUAAAUUCUUUAUAUGGUCCUUUGCUUGCGGUGAAGUACUUAGAAAUUUGUAUCCAAUUCAAAAUGGUUAAUCCGCACAACUCCACCAUGGAUCACAAGAUCACCUUUUUCUCUCCCGUUCUUUGGCUAAGCAACGGUUGGAUCUAUCGGCAAUCUUUUCAACGAGAUGAUUGCGGCUGGUGGCUUUGCGUAAAAGCCAAGGUACUAUUGGUCUAAUGGUAUAAGUGUUUUUUUUUCCUUUUUUUUUGGUCUGUUGUUUGCUCCUAGAAAGGAGUUUCAAAAUCUUGAUAAUUUAAAAAACCAAGUACAGUAUACAACCUCUAAUUGGCGUCAUGCAGACUUGAUAAUUUAGUCUUCAGAAAGAGUUGAAACAACCCUAAAGGAGGCAUUCUUAGGAUGUUUCAAUGGUUUUCCCAAAAU